rnacentral:misc_RNA from 1 species
GAUGAAGAACGUAGCAAAAUGCGAUAAGUAAUGUGAAUUGCAGAAUUCAGUGAAUCAUCGAAUGUUUGAACGCACAUUGCGCCCGCCAGUAUUCUGGCGGGCAUGCCUGUUCGAGCGUCAUUUCAACCCUCAAGCUCAGCUUGGUGUUGGGACUCGCGGUAACCCGCGUUCCCCAAAUCGAUUGGCGGUCACGUCGAGCUUCCAUAGCGUAGUAAUCAUACACCUCGUUACUGGUAAUCGUCGCGGCCACGCCGUAAAACCCCAACUUCUGAAUGUUGACCUCGGAUCAGGUAGGAAUACCCGCUGAACUUAAGCAUAUCAAUAAGCGGAGGA